CUGAAUAUUGCUGUAAAUACAUUUCACUGAUGCAUUUUUUAUGUUAUACAGUGAUAUCACACUGUUCUAUCCUGCAUUUGAACCCAUGAUCUGCCUGUUAAAAUAACAGGCAAGUCAAAUGAUAUCCACAUAUUUAUAUGUGGUUCAGUGUAAAAGUACACAGAAAUUAAUAAAUAUCAAUAUAGUAAGAAUCACAUAUUAAUGCUGAAAUGCAGACUCUGACCUAUUUUGCCAUUUGCUUGCAAAAUAUAUUAAAAGAUUAACCUUUACCAAACUUAGUUGAGAGUCCAAGUGGCCAUUGUAACAAAUAACUAUGUCAGGAAAUGUAUGGUCAUCAGGCUGUGAGAAUCAAUGACCCUUUCAUAAAGUAAAAACAAUCUGCACCAUGAGUCUGAACAACAGCUAUUCUCUCCAAGUGUUCAUUACUGGGAAGAAACGACUGUAAAUUAUAUCAAAUUCCAUAGAGAACCAGAGAUAUAUUUUACCAAAAUGACUCUGAAGAUACCUUUUACAUCUAUUAUGGCCCAUUACUUUGUGUUCAAGCAGCAAGUGACUGAGUUUUAUUGCUACUGAAAACCAUACUUGCUGAAAUGCAAACUCUGAAGACCCGAUUCAUUAAACAAUUACUUACAGUACGAGUACCAGCCACAAAGCUCUUUAUGUGCAAUUUCAUGUGUAAUUAUUGCAUAAGAUCCCACCACAAAAAUGAUAAUUCUUUGUUAUAAGGGGCCAAUUACUGUUAAUUUAUUUAUUAUCUGGUGACAUAAAAAGUAUCUUAAAGAAUUAAUUUUCUAUUAAUAUGAAAAUUGCAGAACCCACAAGCUUCACAAUGGUUCCUUUGCCUCUGAGGUGCAAUAAAUCACCAAUACGGCAAGCAAUAUAGCAUAAAAUGAAAUGUUACCUAACAAAAACCGAGACGUGAGUGGAUUAGGAAAUGUGGAGGCAGACAUCUGAAUUAUGUCUACAAAUAGUGUUAUUAAAGUACAUAUGGAAAAACAACAUAUGUAAAAGACUUUUACAAACCAAUUGAAUGCAUAAUUCCAGAACUUGAUAACAGUUUAACAGAAAAUUAAAUCAUGUGUGUGUGCGUGUGUGUGUGUGUGUGUAUGUGUGUGUUUGUAUGUGCAUGUGAGAGAGAGAGUACUGAAUAAAAUCCCAUAUGUACAAAAACAUUACCAAAUUACUGGUAACUUUGAUACUGCUUAAUGAUAUGCAAUACUUUAUUUACCCAUAUAUGUGGCUUAUUUACAAGAACCGAGAGUGCAUUAUGUUAGCUGUACCUUUUGUCCCUAAAUGUGUCUGUCUAAUGCCAAUACUGGAUUUAAACAAUCCAUGCAUGGUUUAUACAGAUGCAAUAUUUUGUAUACUUAUUGUUUCCCUUCUUGUUUCAUCUUUUCUUCCUCUUUUACAAUCUGUUUUUUUUUUCUUAAUUUUUUAUCUAUUUCUCUUUAAAACAUAAGUAGGGAUUACUUUGUUUUAUGUAUUUUUCAUAUGCUUGACAAUCUUGACAAAGGGUGGAGCUUAAGUCAAGCUCAACUGCAUUUGUUAGCUUGACAAGCUUGCCUUAAAUGCCAAACCUUGUCAAUGUCAAGGGUCGGAAAAAUACAUAAGACAAAGUGCUUUGAUUUUAUUGUUGAUGGUGCAUGAUGAUAGGUCAUUACUGUAGCAUUCUGAUUUAAAUAUGCUGCUCAGUGUAGUCCUUCCCUUUUUUAAUAAUAGCUUGUGUUUAUGAGCCAUAUAUAGAAUAUGUAAUAUAAUUCAUGUUCACAUGUUUUACUUGAUUUUGCAUAGAUCACAUUUUAUUUUCAAACUAUACAUAUAGUGCCAAUUGGUUAAACCUGUUCAUUGUAUAUUACGUUGUCUAAUGUUUUAAAGAGAAAAGGUCAGAAAUGAAGAAAAGAAGAACAGAAUUCGAAAAAGGAAAUAAGAAACUAUUGGAGAAGUUUGAGGUGACAGAACCACUUUAAAUGGAACAUUUAUAAAAAAUCAUGUGUUAUUGAAAAAACAUUAUCCUUCAAAUUUGAACUAAAAUUUGCCACUUUGUAUUAUAAUGGCCAGCGUUCCUUACAUUUUUGGACUACUAGGGAAAAACUCUAUAGUUCUGCCAUUUUAGUAUUUAGUUUACAUUUUUUUAAUUAGAAAAUUAAUUAUCUCUUCAGUUAAUUAACUCAAAUUGAGUUUUUAGUUUUUCUUUGGGGAUUUAUUUCAUGAAAACUGGGAAUUGUAGAGAAUUAACAUGACAUUUGUAAAAACUCCUAUGCUCAGUAAUUUUUCCAGUUCUCUUAUUUUGGCCCAAUAUUCCCUUUGCACCACAAUUCCCAGGUCAGAGGAUAACUCCCUGUUAUAUGUGUUCUAUAGUUUGCGCUUAGUUUCAUAUAUAUGUAUGAACAUAACUAAAUAACUGAACAGACUAUAAGAAGUAUAGCAUCUUCAAGCAUCUUGGAUGCCUAGGGCAAACUCGUGGAUUGAGGUGUAAAUAAGCACCAACCUCCUUAUUUAGCAGGCAUAUUUGAUCAUAUUUGUUGUUGUUAUUUUGUUUUGUUUGUGUCAUCCUACUGGCAAUGCUUUGAGAAAAGUAGCAGUACUAACAAAAAAAUAAAAUAAAAAAUCAGGCUCUAAAUAAUGCAGGUGUGAUUUGGAAUCUGUCUUAAACACACUUUAUCUUACCCGUGAAAGCAUAUUUUCUUUGAAAAUCGCUGAACAAGUUUCUUCUAUAUUGGGAUAUUUGUUCUCUGUUUAGUGCUUUAUAAUCAUUAGAUACAAUCUCCUCCUCAACACCAAAAAACAAUUGGAACUUCCAUUUGUAUCACUUAAAGUUUUAAAUUAAAUUAAAUAAAUUGCAAUAAUUACUUCAUAUAAACAUAGAGAAAAACACAGGUUGAUUCAUGCUAACUGUACUUUUGCUAGGAAACCACCUAUAGUUCUUUACUGUAUAAGGCACUUUAUUCCAAAAUUAAGUUUUGAGCACUUUUUUUUACAAGUAUUUUGUAUAAUUUAGAAUAGUGCAAAAUCUAUAAUUAAAAUAGUAAACUCCAAUAUAUAAUAUGAAAAAUAAGACUUAUUCAUUCUCAAUUGGUUUUAUGAUCCUAAACCCCUAGCCCUUUCCUUUCUCUAAUAUAAGCCUGUGUUGGAGGCAUAAAUACAUCUAGAGUACUGGGUACCCUUAAUUACUAUACUCAGCUGAGCCUGGGAGGCAACCCAGCCACUCGUAUCUGGUUCCCUUGCUCUUGAGCACUGAGAUGCAUGACUUCUUUUAUUCCCACUACUUAUGAUGCCAAGUGCUAUAGCAGCUUGUUAGAUGCAAUCACAGGAUUAAGCUGGCCUAUUUUUAACUUAUGUUAAAACGUGCAACAGUACAAUAGAGCAGUAUAUCUGUUCCCAUUUGGUAAACCAUUGUCUUUCUCUCCGUAUUAGCUAUGAGCGCCAAUACACAUUUGGUUACAGGGUAUCAUUAAUUACCCAACAAAAUAAUUUGAUCUAACAAGAAUCUGCAUGUUGGAAGAAUUGUAUUUCGAUUUCACAUCAUGAUUAUGUCCUUGCAGGGGAUUAUAAAAAACAAUGUAGAGAAUAUGUUUCACUUAAGCAUAAACAGCUGCAUAAAGCCACAGAGCUCCCUUUUCUGAAUUCAUAAGCAAACGUUAAAAUAUGUAAAACCGCAAUUGUGGUAUAAAACUGUAAUAGAAUGAGGUUCUCAGCAUUUUUCUUGUGCUUAAUAAUUAAUCAGUCACAGCAUGGGGUUAUAGCUGUGUUAAUGAAUGCAUUUCAGCUGGGUCUUUCCUUGCCAUAGGCUGAUAUGGUUGUUACCGAACUCAGGAACCGAGGAGAAGACAGGAUGCUGUGACAAAUUGCCUUUGUGUACAGCUUCCUAUGAGGUACGUGUUUUAGGCUGCUGGUAAGCAAAGAUACAGAGCUUUCAGUCAACAGAUAACUUGAAGCUUAAUUAAAAUAAAAUCUCUUGGUUAUUAUUAUUGUGAAUGGAAGUGCAAUUAUACUUUAACUGGAUUAUUUGUUAUAUAGUGAAUCAAAGUCAAUUGGAAACAGAAUGGCAAAAUUCGUGGAAAAAAGUGCAGAUCUCAAAUUAUUCUGCAAAUCGGCCAUAUCCCAUGCUUGGUUCGUUUGGCUUAAUUUUGCAAUUUGGUUUUCAACUCAUUACAAUUUCACACAUAAAGAAUAAAAAAUGCUAUUCAUUAAACAAGCAUUCUUGAAGUUUGUCUAUUGCUUUAAUUAGCCAUAAGUGACAUUUUUUUUCGUAAUCUGCAACUUAUCUGCAACACGUAUGUCAAAAUUGUAUACUACUUUGUGUAGCUACUUCGGUAUUAAGAUUUUUAGAUUAAAUAUUGCAAUACACUUGUCAAUCUCCCUCAACUCACUCCUUUGAAACUAAACCUAUUAACAAUAGAUAAUCGAUCGUAAGUCAAUAUAUGAAUAAAUAGAUUGUAUCAAAAUAUUUGCAUUUCAUAAACUGAAUAAUGUAAAAAAAAUUGGAAACAUAUUUUAUGUGAUCAAGAAUCAAUUGAUUUUUGCAAGAUAAUACAAUCACACUACUAAUAAAUAGUCUCUGUAGUUUCUAACCCUUAUUCAACCUAAAUAUCAAGAUAUCUGCCAGAUGUUAUUUGUAAGUUAUGGGUUUACUAUAGAGGAUUGCAAUGCUUUUUAAAGAACUUGUUGCAUAUCUAUAUCAUUACACGUUUACCGUAGAGUCGUAUACGCUAAAAUCAACAUUAUGUGGCUUAGCUGCAGUGCUGUUUAUUUUAAUUGAUGUUGUUAUGUUAGAAUUGUAUCAGUAGAUAAAACCAAAAACACAAAAUGGUAGAUACGUCAAAAAAUACAUAAAAAUUAUUAUUUUGUAUGUUAGCAAAUAAAUGUUUUUGUUUAGUCAUUGUCUCAAUUUAUGUUAUCAUAUUAUGAGUUGUAAAGAUUCUGACAGUUUCCACAAGACUAUGAGAAAUGUGAACUAAUAAUUAUUUAAGAUGAGAUUGCAGUUAAAGAAUUGGCUUUUAAAUGUAUAAAAACAAACGCCUUUUUUGUGGUACGAUGGCACUUUCUGUGGACUGGCCAAUAAAUAUGAUUUUAGAAUUUCACAGAAAA